rnacentral:rRNA from 1 species
CCAGAGAACUUAGCAGAGAUGCUUUGGUGCCUUCGGGAACUCUGAGACUGGUGCUGCAUGGCUGUCGUCAGCUCGUGUUGUGAAAUGUUGGGUUAAGUCCCGCAACGAGCGCAACCCUUAUCCUUUGUUGCCAGCGGCUCGGCCGGGAACUCAAAGGAGACUGCCGGUGAUAAACCGGAGGAAGGUGGGGAUGACGUCAAGUCAUCAUGGCCCUUACGGCCAGGGCUACACACGUGCUACAAUGGCGCAUACAAAGAGAAGCGACCUCGCGAGAGCAAGCGGACCUCAUAAAGUGCGUCGUAGUCCGGAUUGGAGUCUGCAACUCGACUCCAUGAAGUCGGAAUCGCUAGUAAUCGUAGAUCAGAAUGCUACGGUGAAUACGUUCCCGGGCCUUGUACACACCGCCCGUCACACCAUGGGAGUGGGUUGCAAAAGAAGUAGGUAGCUUAACCUUCGGGAGGGCGCUUACCACUUUGUGAUUCAUGACUGGGGUGAAGUCGUAACAAGGUAGGCGUAGUGCU